rnacentral:rRNA from 1 species
GACGAACGCUGGCGGCGUGCUUAACACAUGCAAGUCGAACGGAAAGGCCCUGCUUUUGUGGGGUGCUCGAGUGGCGAACGGGUGAGUAACACGUGAGUAACCUGCCCUUGACUUUGGGAUAACUUCAGGAAACUGGGGCUAAUACCGUAUAGGAGCUCCUGCUGCAUGGUGGGGGUUGGAAAGUUUCGGCGGUUGGGGAUGGACUCGCGACUUAUCAGCUUGUUGGUGGGGUAGUGGCUUACCAAGGCUUUGACGGGUAGCCGGCCUGAGAGGGUGACCGGCCACAUUGGGACUGAGAUACGGCCCAGACUCCUACGGGAGGCAGCAGUGGGGAAUAUUGCACAAUGGGCGGAAGCCUGAUGCAGCAACGCCGCGUGCGGGAUGACGGCCUUCGGGUUGUAAACCGCUUUCGCCUGUGACGAAGCGUGAGUGACGGUAAUGGGUAAAGAAGCACCGGCUAACUACGUG